rnacentral:tRNA from 1 species
GCGGGCGUGGCGGAAUGGCAGACGCACCAGACUUAGGAUCUGGCGGGGCAACUCGUGGAGGUUCAACUCCUCUCGCCCGCACCA